CGGGGUGUGGCCCAGUUGGUCUAAGGCACAUGCAUGGGGUGCAUGGGAUCGGGAGUUCAAAUCUCCCCACCCCGACCA
rnacentral:tRNA from 1 species